rnacentral:lncRNA from 1 species
UCUAUGGAGAUACUCAUUCACCCAUCCAUGAUGCCAGCCAUCAGUGUAAUUGCUUAAGCAUGACUUAGCAGUUCAUGAAAAGAAAGAGCUAUGAACAGUCCCAUGGUAGCAUGCAAAUCUCAAGAGUUGUGGGAAAAGAUGAAGAGGCAGGACUGAAGAGCAGUAAGAAAAUAGGAAGAGGGAGGACUGAAUGGUAAAGAACAGGUAGACGAAGGGCAGGCAUGGAGACAUAAGUACAAAACUAUUUGUGUAUGGCCACAGAGGCUGUCACUGAUGGAAGCAGAAUGAAAGCACAGUAAAAAGGCAGAACACAUAUCAGAAGUGAUCUUACUGACAGAGGGGCUGGGUGGCACUGCUGGCAUUCAAAUCACGUCAUUUGGCAACACAGGAGAAACAUCGAGAAGAGGUUGAAAAACUACAGCAGCUAAAAAAGUGACAUAAACUCAGAAAGGAGUUCAAAGCAGAUGAUACAAACAAAAUGCAGUUUGGGGCGAAAGAAGGGCUUGAUUUCACACAGUCUGAAAUGUACCUCAAAAGAUACAUGUAAAAGAGAUGCACCGAGAAGCAUCAGCUUAUGAAGCAGCCUUAAGAAAAUAAUUUGGAGAAGACUUUUCUCUUAAAGUAUUUGAAAUGUGGCUGAACAAAGCACUGGGAAUUAAGGCAGAGAAAAUUAACCUAGGAAGAGUUAGAUAGUACAAAAGAUCUUUUCUCAUUAGUACAGUUUUAAAAUUUUCCACAUUUGUGCUCCUUUUUUUCUGUU